GCGUGAGUGAUGAAGGCCCUAGGGUUGUAAAGCUCUUUCACCGGUGAAGAUAAUGACGGUAACCGGAGAAGAAGCCCCGGCUAACUUCGUGCCAGCAGCCGCGGUAAUACGAAGGGGGCUAGCGUUGUUCGGAAUUACUGGGCGUAAAGCGCACGUAGGCGGAUCGUUAAGUCAGGGGUGAAAUCCCGGGGCUCAACCCCGGAACUGCCUCUGAUACUGGCGAUCUCGAGUUCGGGAGAGGUGAGUGGAAUUCCGAGUGUAGAGGUGAAAUUCGU
rnacentral:rRNA from 1 species